rnacentral:rRNA from 1 species
AUGGUCGCGCACGCCAUGCUCCCGCUCUGCAGGCGUGCUAUGGCUGAUUCAUCGGUCCCCGCGGACGGUGAUACCCUCCAUGCAAGCAGGGAAAUAUUCGGCACCAGCUGGGAUGACACGUGCAAGGUAGUGGAGAUGGAGCUGUCGCUCAUGUACGACAUCCUCUACACCAAGGAGGCCGUUGUCCACACCUGGCAUGGUUACGGCAUCCGUGUCAUAUCGCCGGCAGCCAUUGCCGCCACGACGGUGCUGUUUGGAUUCUACUACAGCAAAGAAGGCCAGAGCAAACCGGACGUGAUGAUCACCUACGUCUUGCUGGCAGCUACCUUCCUCCUGGAUACGAGUUGGCUGUUGAGGGCACUUGGGUCGACCUGGAUGCACGGUUUCCUGCAGUGCAGCUGGCUUCACCACGCCAUUCUAUGCACCGGCAGAUGGCGCCGGCUCGGUCGUGUGAUUGUGUCUUUAGACCUUGGCCGGCUUCGCCUCACGGCAACCCCGAGGAGUCCAAGUAGCUACAGAAGGUGGUCUGGCAAAGUUGGACAGUACAGCUUGCUGCGCGAGGUCACGCGAGAGAUGAGCCUAUGCGGCAAAGCGGCGAAGAAGAUUGGACUGGAAAACGUUUGGAAGGAAUAUCAGCACUCAAACACACACAAGCUUUCACAUGAGGUCAAGGAGGCUAUUUUCACACGGGUAACAAAGGUUCUGAGAUUAACAUACCAGGAGGCUAACAAGCACAAGAAUGUUGGCUACUCCAUGACUAACAUCACUACCAACUGGGGUCAAGUGACAGCCAAGAGGUUUGCCAGCAAGAGUGAAGAGAAGACAGUCCACCUGGCCUUUGGCCGCGAAUUCCAGGAGGACAUCCUUGUGUGGCACAUCGCCACCCAAGUUUUCCUCAUGUGUGGAUCACUGCUCCAUGGCAAGCAUUCAGGCGCGCAUGCUAACGCGAUCAAGGCGCUCUCCGAUUAUCUCAUGUUCCUGGUCGCGGUGCGCCGACACAUGCUGCCGGGGCUUAAGCUUCGCAGCCUGUAUGAAAGAACAUUUGAGUCCUUGCAGCGCGUAUGGAGCAAGGACCGGGGCAAGGCUGGCUCCUGCUGCAGCACCACGGAGGAGGAACAGCUUGCCCGGAUCCUGCGCCAUAAAAAGGAUGACGCCGAUCGUGGGUGGGGUAUGAAGGAUGCUGAAAUUAGCAUCAUCUCAGACGGAGCUAAUCUUGCCAUUGAGCUGCUUGAGGCUGGGGCUGAAGAGUUUCAGAUGCCACUGCUGCUGGAGCUCGUCUUCAACGUGUGGGUGGACAAGCUGCUGCAUGCGGCUACCCUAUGCAGCCCGGAGUCCCACGCCAUGCAGCUUAGCCGUGGCGGUGAGCUCACAACCAUCGUCUGGAUUAUGGUACAGCAUGCUGGCCCGUUCACGAUAGGCGAGAAAGGUCCCGAUGAUGAUGAUGAGGAACCGACAGAUGAUGAAACGCAACAAGUUAAGCAUGGUGACAAGGUGGGUGAGGAAAAGAAGGCCACCGAUGGAAAGCGGGGACGGGACAAGGAACCAUUAUCUGAUCCUUAUCCUGGUUAUCCAGCUGAACCACCCAAACCGAAAUGGGCUUCAGAGCCUCCACCACCAAAACCGAAAUCAGCUUCAGACCCUCCACCACCGAAACCUUCCCUAGCUGAACUGAAACCGGAAUCGGCUCCACCCCCAGGCGCUGCACCUCCACCACCAAAGACCGACGUGGGCGAACCAAUUGCAGUGCAAACUCGAGCACCCAAACGCCGUCGUGAGAGAAGAAGAAGGUAUGCUACUCUGUAUCCAAUAGACUGA